rnacentral:sRNA from 1 species
CUAGAUGUCAUGUUUAUAAGUGAGUAUAAAAACUAGAACCGUAACGGAUCUUAAAAUCCUAAAUAUUGUAUCCUUGUUAGAAGACGCAUAGACAAAGACUCAUACGGAAUUCGGCUAAACCAUCAAAGCUUUUAGAAGCAAGAAGAAGCUCGGUUAGUGUUUUGGAGUAAAAUAUUACUAGAUGUCAUGUGUAUGAGUGAGUAUGACAACUAGAACCAUAACCGGAUCUUAAAAACCUAAC